GGGCGGAUGUAGCCAAGUGGAUCAAGG
rnacentral:tRNA from 2 species